AUUGAACGCUGGCGGCAGGCCUAACACAUGCAAGUCGAACGAGUGGCGGACGGGUGGGUAAUGUCUGGGAAACUGCGUGAUGGAGGGGGAUAAAUACUGGAAACGGUAGCUAAAACCGCAUACCAUCGGAUGUGCCCAGAUGGGAUUAGCUAGUAGGGGGGGGAAAGGCUCACCUAGGCGACGAUCCCUAGCUGGUCUGAGAGGAUGACCCGCCACACUGGCACUGUGACACGGUCCAGACUCCUACGGGAGGCAGCAGUGGGGAAUAUUGCACAUGGGGCGCAAGCCUGAUGCAGCCAUGCCGCGUGUAUGAAGAAGGCCUUCGGGUUGUAAAGUACUUUCGUCGGGGAGGCGUUACCCGCAGAAGAAGCACCGGCUAACUCCGUGCCAGCAGCCGCGGUAAUAC
rnacentral:rRNA from 1 species